rnacentral:rRNA from 1 species
UACGGGGGGGCAAGCGUUGUUCGGAAUUACUGGGCGUAAAGGGCUCGUAGGCGGCCAACUAAGUCGGACGUGAAAUCCCAGGCUCAACCUGGGAACUGCGUCUGAUACUGGAUGGCUUGAAUUCGGGAGAGGGAUGCGAAUCCAGGUGUAGCGGUGAAAUGCGUAGAUAUCUGGAAGGAAUACCGGUGGCCGAAGGCGGCAUCCUGGACCGACAUUGACGCUGAGGAGCGAAAAGCUAGGGGAG